rnacentral:lncRNA from 1 species
CUAGAGGGUGGGAAGGCGUCAGGCCUGUGCAGAGGAGCUGGGGAUGUGGGGGUGCCAGGCGUGGGGCCCGUAUGGGGGUAUGGGCCUGCAGGUGUCCGGCCGGGGGCCUGCUGCAGGUUAAGGAUGCUGUCGAUGGCACUCUGCAAAUGCUCAGUUUCUCCUUGGCGAGCUGCUUAUCCAAGGCAAGGGUGGUCUUCUCCUCCUGAAUGAACAUUCGGUCGAUCAUAACCAUCUCUGCGGAAGGACUGACUCUCUGUGCUAAGAGACCGCACCACCCCGACAAGAACAGUUCACAGCAGGGGAGGGACCCCAGCAGCUUGAGACUCCUACCCUGGACUCUUCCAGAAGCAAAAGCCGAUAUUUAUUGAGCAUGGCCUGGAAUCCCUACUACAGUAGGCUUGGUUUCCCUAUCACACGACCACGUUUCCAUCAGACAAGCCUAGAAGAUCAGCCCUCUGGCACCAUGGGGCAGAUUUCCUGAUAUGUUUAUUUGCUGUGAUCUUGGAACCCACACAGUGAGUGCUUACAAACACUGUGGUGGGAGAAGAACAGGAGAACACCAUUUAUUUCUCCAAAACAGCUCAAAGGCCAGCCAUCUUGCUACCUAUUCAAUGAACAGAGGCCUAUAAAACGUCAAACUUGUGUGCACCUAACUC